AGAGUUUGAUCAUGGCUCAGGACGAACGCUGGCGGCGUGCCUAAUACAUGCAAGUCGAACGCGUCUCCGUUAAUGAUUUUAGGUGCUUGCACUUGAAAGAUUUAACAUUGAGACGAGUGGCGAACUGGUGAGUAACACGUGGGUAACCUGCCCUUGAAGUAGGGGAUAACACUUGGAAACAGGUGCUAAUACCGUAUAACAACCAAAACCACCUGGUUUUGGUUUAAAAGACGGCUUCGGCUGUCACUUUAGGAUGGACCCGCGGCGUAUUAGCUUGUUGGUAAGGUAACGGCCUACCAAGGCGAUGAUACGUAGCCGACCUGAGAGGGUAAUCGGCCACAUUGGGACUGAGACACGGCCCAAACUCCUACGGGAGGCAGCAGUAGGGAAUCUUCCACAAUGGACGAAAGUCUGAUGGAGCAACGCCGCGUGAGUGAUGAAGGGUUUCGGCUCGUAAAACUCUGUUGUUGGAGAAGAACAGGUGUCAGAGUAACUGUUGACAUCUUGACGGUAUCCAACCAGAAAGCCACGGCUAACUACGUGCCAGCAGCCGCGGUAAUACGUAGGUGGCAAGCGUUGUCCGGAUUUAUUGGGCGUAAAGCGAGCGCAGGCGGUUUUUUAGGUCUGAUGUGAAAGCCUUCGGCUUAACCGGAGAAGUGCAUCGGAAACCGGGAGACUUGAGUGCAGAAGAGGACAGUGGAACUCCAUGUGUAGCGGUGAAAUGCGUAGAUAUAUGGAAGAACACCAGUGGCGAAGGCGGCUGUCUGGUCUGUAACUGACGCUGAG
rnacentral:rRNA from 1 species